rnacentral:rRNA from 1 species
UGGGGAAUAUUGGACAAUGGGCGAAAGCCUGAUCCAGCCAUGCCGCGUGUGUGAAGAAGGUCUUCGGAUUGUAAAGCACUUUAAGUUGGGAGGAAGGGCAGUAAGCGAAUACCUUGCUGUUUUGACGUUACCGACAGAAUAAGCACCGGCUAACUCUGUGCCAGCAGCCGCGGUAAUACAGAGGGUGCAAGCGUUAAUCGGAAUUACUGGGCGUAAAGCGCGCGUAGGUGGUUCGUUAAGUUGAAUGUGAAAGCCCCGGGCUCAACCUGGGAACUGCAUCCAAAACUGGCGAGCUAGAGUAGGGCAGAGGGUGGUGGAAUUUCCUGUGUAGCGGAGACAUGCGUAGAGAUCUGGAGGAAUACCGAUGGCGAAGGCAGCCAACUGGCCUAAUACUGACGCUGAGGUACGAAAGCAUGGGGAGCAAACAGG